UACGAAGGUGGCAAGCGUUACUCGGAAUUACUAGGCGUAAAGGGCAGGUAGGUGGUUUAGUAAGUCUGUUGUGAAAGCUCCUGGCUUAACUGGGAGAGGUCAACGGAUACUACUAGGCUUGAGUAUAGGAGAGGGUACUGGAAUUCCCGGUGUAGCGGUGAAAUGCGCAGAGAUCGGGAGGAACACCAAUGGCGAAAGCAGGUACCUGGACUAUUACUGACACUCAGCUGCGAAAGCUAGGGGAGCAAACAGG
rnacentral:rRNA from 1 species